AGCGAACGCUGGCGGCAGGCCUAACACAUGCAAGUCGAACGGAUCCUUCGGGAUUAGUGGCGGACGGGUGAGUAACACGUGGGAACGUGCCCUUUGGUUCGGAACAACUCAGGGAAACUUGAGCUAAUACCGGAUGUGCCCUUCGGGGGAAAGAUUUAUCGCCAUUGGAGCGGCCCGCGUCUGAUUAGCUAGUUGGUGAGGUAACGGCCCACCAAGGCGACGAUCAGUAGCUGGUCUGAGAGGAUGAUCAGCCACACUGGGACUGAGACACGGCCCAGACUCCUACGGGAGGCAGCAGUGGGGAAUCUUGCGCAAUGGGCGAAAACCUGACGCAGCCAUGCCGCGUGAAUGAUGAAGGUCUUAGGAUUGUAAAAUUCUUUCAGCGGGGACGAUAAUGACGGUACCCGCAGAAGAAGCUCCGGCUAACUUCGUG
rnacentral:rRNA from 1 species